rnacentral:lncRNA from 1 species
AAUUUAUCACACUGUACUACUGGCACCUUGUCUUAUGUCUUCCUCCCACAUCAGAUCUUGAGCAACUUGCUGAUAGGAAUCUGAAACCAUUGACUAGAGGGGCUGUCAGAAGUGCCUGUUGCAUUCAGAUGUAUUUCCUCUGUUCUUUCUACUCUGUUCUACCUGUACCCAGAAAAGAAACUAGAAGAAUAAAAUCUACUGAGGUUAACAAACCUCUGAGGUGACGUAGAGAAGAACUCGAAGUGCCCUAAUGGAGGAAAGUGGCUGGGACUUCCCAGGUCAUUCGGAAGGAUACUUAGGUGGUGCCUCUACUAUUCCUGCUCCAGCUGAGCCUAUACUUGUUGGAUAUGUACCUUUCAAGUAUGGAAAACCUAGAUGUCGGCUGUGGAAACAAAACUCAUCUUCAAAAGGAAAAUAAAAAUCAGACCUAUGCUAGAUACCAUGUUACACAUAUUUGAGAAAAAUUCUCAG